UACAGAGGGUGCAAACGUUGCUCGGAAUCAUUGGGCGUAAAGCGCACGUAGGCGGUCCUUUAAGUCGGGUGUGAAAGCCCUCGGCUCAACCGAGGAAGUGCAUUCGAAACUGGGGGACUUGAAUACUGGAGAGGAUGGCGGAAUUCCCGGUGUAGAGGUGAAAUUCGUAGAUAUCGGGAGGAACACCAGUGGCGAAGGCGGCUUCCUGGACCAGUACUGACGCUGAGGCGCGAAAGCUAGGGGAGCAAACAGG
rnacentral:rRNA from 1 species